GGUUUCCUGGGGCGUACGACACGUAGGCGAAUGUCCCUGAGCCGAUGCUUAUAUCUAAAGGGGACCACUGGCCCGUCAUGAGCAAGCCCGACACGUAUCGGGAAGCCUACGAUGGAUCCCAUUUGCUCCCCGCCUUGAACCAAUGGGUUCAAGGGCUAACGCCCAACAACGGCGCCGCCGGGAAACCA
rnacentral:other from 3 species